rnacentral:lncRNA from 1 species
UGCAAACAGAGGAGGAAGCUUUAUGCUGUGUUGAAAACAAUAAGACAUGGCAGAAAUAUUUACACUAGGGUCAAGAAUGUAUCUUGGAUUUGGCAGCCGGAAAGUGAGGCUAUAAAUCAAAAGACAAUAUAGUGCAAGUUUACUACAAUAGAAGAGACAAGUAGAAAAGACUUGCAUGCAAAGCAAUGACGGUUUGCAGGAAGGCAGCAAUAUUGGCGGCCGUCUUCACCCAAUCUGGGCCACUAACAUUGUUGAGUAAAUAGGAAGAUGAACUGGAUCCAUAGGCCCAAUAUCCAAUAAAAGCAACAGCAUAUAAAGGCAAAACACCUACUGUGAAUUGAAAGUAAAGACCUUUCAACAUGUUCUUGACCACAGGUUCUCUCACAGUAGCCUGUUUCAAAAAAAACCAGAAAACUGACCCAUGAACAUAUAAAGUAAAGUAGAAUGUAUAAUUUAUAUAGAAGGCUCAAGUUGCAUGGACCUCAUCAAUGUCAAGUAAGGAUAUUCUUUGGUAAAGUUUGAUUAAAAUAAUGUACAUGUUAAGCAUCUUACUGUAAUGGAUGAUGGAUCAAAGUAGUACAUACUACAUUAUAAUUGGUCAGGGAUAGGUUCCAACCUGUAUUUCAGGAAGCAUUCCUGUAUUGAAAGCAAAAACAGAGCUUGCCAUUGCGCCAACAGUUGUAAAUAUCUUGCUCACUUUUGAUCCAGGAAUGUCAUAAUCCCUAGAAGGACUUCUAUUUCCUGUAAGAGUUUACAUAUUACCUGAAUUUCUGAUAGUACAUUAAGAGAAACGUGGUAUUUCAUUGCAUUGUGAUAUUUUCAUAUAUAAGAUAACAUGUCCAAGAUAUUGGUAAUAAAGACAAUUGCAGAUCUUAGAACAAGGAACAUGGAUAAGCCAUAAUGUGUUUACCACGUGAAAUCGAGAUUGAAGUUGUUUUCCCUCAUGAUAUCAGUAGAAGCAUCAACUUUUAAUAAGCUAUAAUCCUUGUGAAGUAUUGUUAUAUUAUGUCCAAAAAAUUGCCUGAAGUUAUAACGGCAUAACGUUGCGCCCAAGGUACCAGGUGAUGGGUUUCAACACAACAUCACAGGGUCAACGAGAGCAAUUAAACUUAUAUCUACUAAGUCUUAUAAACUCUGGCACAUAAAACAUAAAUGAAAAGUUUACAAUGACUGCUUUAGAAGUUAAUAGAGUUUAGUGAGAUAUUCUAAAAGCAUGACUUCUGAGAAGUUCGAGCAAUUCUAACGCUGCCAUAGCUCCACAAGUAGUCCAACUCAACUCACACUUUUUGAAACAAUGGUAUAGGUUGAUCAUAGUUGUCAAAUUGUUCGACACUAAAAGAAAAAUCUAAAGUGCAUUGAUGUAACUUGUAAGCAUGUAUAACUACAUCCGGAUUAUGUAUGGUUCAAGGUCAAGAAUUAGUUGAGAAUUUUUUUAAAAGAACAACUAUCAUGUAUACGUCUGCUUGCACACUUGGUAUGUGACUUGCCUGUUCUGUUAAAUAUAAACAGAGUGCAAGAAUUCUAAGUAACACGGCUGGAGCAGAUGAUAAGAUGAUCUCUCAAGUAAUAUAGGCAGGCGAAAAAAUGACAAAAAAUAACUGAUAAAGAACAGGAAUAUGUACCAUCUCUAGCUGACAGUACAAUCGCAACAACAAUGUAGAUAAAGCUAAAGAGUGUUGAAAAUCCCAGCCAGACUCCCAAAGCUGACAGAUGCGGAGUUGCAAUUGCAAAAAGACCACAUGUAAACCCAGCAAUCAUAAUGAAGUACGGGAGCUUCAUUGUAUGUUCAUCCGUGUACAGGACAUAAACAGCCUGCACAUAAUUAGUGAAGAAAAGAAGUUGGGACCUUCUGAAGGUAACAUUAAAAUGUAGUAAACAGAAAAGGCAGGGGGGAAAAAAAUUAUUAAAAAUAAUAUAAAGCAUAUUUAGAACGUAAGAGAAACAUAUCAAAAGCUAACAAUGUAAAUUGUUGUAACCAGAAUUUCUAACUUGAGCUUACUUUUAGAGCCUGACCAGCCAAAAUGAGGUAUCCAACAUUAAUCAUAAAAAGAUUAACAUAUUGCAAUGCCCAGGUAAGAGCAUAAGCUUUUUUACCUGAAAUAAUAAUACACUCCUUCACCACAAAGAAAUUAUAGCCAACAAAUAAUAUGUUUUUGGGCAACAGACCAGGAAAAAUGUAAAAGCAUACCAUAUAUAAAUCCUGCAAGAUCUCUGUAUCUAAUGUGCCUCUUUCCUCCAACUUCAUGGAUCCUUGCAAUCAAAAUAUUUGCAUACAAAGACGCGGCCGUGGCUACAAGUAAAGCAAUGACACCUCCUACCCAACCAAGAGGAACCAUAACUGCACCAGAGUAUCCUAGUACAUAUGCACUAUUGAUGCCGGUGGUGAGAACAAAUCCCGCUUGUAACCAUGAAUCUACAAAAUAUAAAACAGAGGUAAAUAAUCUCGAAAAACGAUAUCACUCAACGUUAUUGGAACCUUGAGUCCCAUUAGCUGCAGAGACAGACCAUAAUGCAUGAAUAGGACAUCCACUAAUCAACCUUUAAAAAAACAUCCAUGCUGACAUUAAAAAUUCAACAAAAACCUCUUUAACACAGGAUAAAAAUAUAGAAAUGGAGAUUAAUGUAAUAAGCAGUAUGAGUUCAAAGAGAAACAAAAAACUGCAUUAGGUAUAUUUUCAUAAUUAGAUAAGCUCAUUUUCAAGAAUAACAGAUAUUAAAACUUGACAUACACUUAUAGAUAUAAAUCUAUUCUCAUCAAACAAACAAAUAAUAUCAAAUGGCUUAUCUACGCAAAAACCCAAAUGGGAUAUCAAUAAGCAGAUAGAUUUGAGAUAGAUUAGAGAAAGAGAGAGAGAGAGAGAGAGAGUGUGUGUAUCAAAUCAAUAAGCAGAGAGAUUUGAGAGAGAUUGAGAGAGGGAGAGAGGGGGGGAGGGAGUAGGGAGGGAGGGAGGGAGGGAGGGAGGGAGAGAGAGUGUGGGACCUUGACUAAUCUGAUGAGCAGUGUCGGGGAUUUCAAUGGAGAAAUGCUCGUUGGCGUGCAAUUUCCGGUAAGUGUCGGCGAUGUCAUCGUUGGAAACUUCCAUCAGAAAACACCCUCAGACUCGGAUUUUAUCAACAACAGAAUCACUCAAUGAAUGCUGAUACAGACCACUCUAUUCAUUUCUAGCUCUACACUGCACUAUAUAUAAGCAGACGUCUGGCGUGUGUUUGGACUUGGAAUUAACCAUAAUAUUUUAAUAUUACUAUUAGCCAAACAGAGGAUAUAGUUACGUGUAUUAUUGUUUUUCUACUAUAAAUAUAAUGAAACCAUCAUCUAUAUUUUGACUUUUUAACCUCCAUGCGUGCAAAUUUGUGGUGCCUAUUUUAGGUAUUUUAUCUACUUUUCCUAUUAUUAUUGGUAUCAUAAAAAGGAAAAAAAAGAAAGUGCACUCUACGAGCAAGGCUAACCAAAUAAUUUGAUUGAGCUUUUUUUUUUCCAAAGCGAGAGGGAGAAAUGAUUUGGAAAAUUCUUUGGUGAGCCUCAAUAAUAUAUAUAUGUAUGAGAAAAGAAUAAGUAAAUUUCAAUUAUUUCAUCUUAAAUAGAAUAAUGUAUUCUAUUCAAAAAAUAUUCUGCAAAAUAUUCUUUACCUUAAACUCUUGUACUCUUUCUUCGUAAUCAUUUUCACUGAUAAUUCUUUUUGAUGCUUUCAGCUCUUAGAAAGGAGGGUUCAUGCUUAUCAAUGCAACUACAAUUUCCAUAGCAAUUCUGUUAGCAUCUUCUGUGGGUCGUAAAAGUUCCUUCUGAUAAACAUGAAUAUUGUGUUACUAUAAGGUUUUCGGUCAUCAAUAUUAUAUAUUAUAAAUUAGUACCCAUUUUAGUACUAAUAUAUUUUAUUCUUUUUGCCAAAUUUUAGUACUAAUAUAUAGUAGAAUAAGCGAGAACAUAUUCAAAAUCUAACGUUACGAAAGAUCUGGAUUAUCUAGUUUGUUCUAUCAUCAAAUUAUCUGGUUAUUUUCUUAGAGCAUCUCCAAUAGUCUCUUAAAUCACUCUUAAAUAUAAUAUAAAAUAUUGACUCUUAGUGAUUUAAUGUAGGUUCAACUCCAACAACACCUCUUAUAUUCACUCCUUAUUUGUUUUUAUAUUAUUAAAAGCAAGUCAUGUGCAUAAAAGUACAAAAGAAAGUGGAUGAAGAGAGAGAAUGAGUGCUUACAAAUUUAUUAGUAUAAAAUAUUAGUUAAGAGUGACUAGUAGCUCUUACAAUUGAGGAGAGAGAAGAGAAAUUUAGGAAAUUUAAGAGUGAUUAGGAGUCUAUUGGAGCAAGCAAAAUCACAAUGCUCUUCAAAUUUCAAUUUAAGAGCCACUAUAAAAAGGUUAUUGGAGAUGCUCUUAUGCUCUCCUGAAACUAUUCCGAAAGAUGGUCUGUGGUAGCAUGAAAUAAAACAUAUUAUCAUUAUGAAUUAUACAGAUAGGUAUUGACAUGGAGUGCUUAGCUUAAAAAGAAGAUCAUUCCACAUUAAUACACAAGCAACUGGCGGUUUGUUGUUUUGAGAGUCGAUCUUCAAAAUUAGGAUUCCAACCGUCAUUUCUCUUCUCUUCGACCUUUAUCUUCUUUACUUCUUUACUGAUGAGUGAGUUUUUGUUGAGUAUCUUGUCAUCAAUAUUGUGGCCAUCUUUUUAGGGUGUUUGUGUGUUUUAAUGUUUUUGUGUAUUUUGUUAUUGAUUUCGGUAACGUUUCUAAGAAGGACGUCCAUAGUAUUUUGGGUGGUCUGUAAGGCUUGGAUCAAAUAUGACGCGCUGGUGAAUAUCGCAAGAGAUCACCUUUCACAACAUAAAAUUGUUCAUGUUUUGGGGUAAUUUGUUCAUCCAAUAUUAGUUUAUGUAACUGAUAAUUAUAAACAUUGGGCUACAGAUGCGGCUGUUUAUGUGAUGGUCAAUUGCUACUAAUAUAAUUUUUGUUUAAUGAUAAUUAUUAUUAUAUCAUUAUGAAAAUACUUUCACAUUGAUUUUAUAAUUAAGUACUUCAAUAUUAUUAAAGAUUUUAUAAUUAUUAUUAUACUAUUAUUAUGAAAAUACUUCUAUAUUGAUUAUGAUUUUUUAAUAUAACAAUUAUACUACUAACAGAGCUAAAUUGCUAACAAAAUUAUUUGUUUUAAUAAUCAAUAUACUAUUAUGAAAAGACUGUUAUAUUGUUUAGGACUUAGUAAUUAUUAUUAUACCGUUGUGAAAAGACUUCUACAUUGAUUAACGACUUUUACACUUUUAAUCAAUGUUAACAUGGAAACUAAAAAAAUAAUCAAAAAUACAAAAAAUCAAAACUUCAUAGAUUGAAAGUGAAAUUUUGAUAUGUUAAUUUAUGAGUGAUUUCAAAAAUGUGGGUGGUGAAGUUUGGAUUUCAAGUUCACUAUGGUAUAGAAAGUUGCACUUUAAUCUCAAGAACAUGAAGAGAAAAACUUAUUAAUACAGAUUUUUAUACAUUAUUGACUUGAAAUCGGAAAUUUUUACCACCUGUGUUCUUGAAAACACUCGUAAAUUAAAAAGCAAUUUUUUUUAAUACCUGAAAUUUUAUUUUUUCACUUUUUCAUUAUUUUUUCUUUUACUUUUUUAAUUUCCACCUGACGGAAUAAUAGCCGUAAGUCAAAUUUCGACAGAGGACUUAAAUUUGCUUUUCUUAUCUAAAAGUUGGAAUUUUUAAUUUAGAAACCUAAAUCAUAAAUGAUCUGUACUUCAUAGACGAGUAAUUUUCUUUUUAAUUAAUGUAUGAAAUACAAUUAUCCAAUUACGUAUUAUUUAUUAUUACGUAUUAUUUUCCACCAAGUGUACCUUACCUCCAUUAUAAAAGUCAAGAAACAUGAUUCCCCGGAUGCUCACAAAAUGAUUGAUGUUCGAGCACUACAUAGUCCAUACGUUUGCAUGUUAUCUUUAGUCACACAUAAUUGAAUGUCUUUUUUAUACUAGAUGAAACUAAAGCGGUGUGUUUAUUAGUGUUGUGGUCAACACUUUUUGUAUUAGUGCAGUAUUAGUUAGCACAUUUAUUCGCUUUUUAUAUGCACCAGAGCCGUGCACACUCAAGGCGCACCAUUUUUAUGCUUUACUUUCAUGAACAAACCGUACAGCCUAAUCUUCGUUUGCAACUUGUAAUCACACCUCUUCACAUUUUCUAUAAUUUUUCAUAAUAUUUAUAUGCUCUCUGGAUACACAGUAAUCAAUGAAUAAAUUCUAAUUUAGUCAGUAUUAUAAAAAAAAUACGAAUCGAGCUCCACUGAUAAAUGCACGGAACAAGAAUUAAUUACCGACUAAGAGUGUCUUCUUGACUGCUCAUAGCAACGAUUUUAAGAAUCCUAACUUGUUUUUAAAAAUUGGAAGGAACAGAAGGGCUUCUCCACCAAAAAAGAGGAAAAUGACAUGAGAGAUGAAUAAAUAAUGAAGAAAGUAAUUUGCACCACAAAAGGUAAAGCAUCAGGAAGCAUAAACCAAUGAUCCUUGCAAAGAUUACUACAACUGCUAGUAGUAGGUGAGUACUAAGCAGAAAACAAACAAGAUUUUGAAAGAAAAUGAAGAAACUAAAAGACGGACAAGAUGCCAAUAUAUAAAGCCUAGCCUAGAACUAAAACGAAUAACCUGGCUCCUUUAUCUAUUCCCUUUACUUUUUUCUUCUAUGGGCCGCAUUAAUUUUGAGCCCACCUGUUGUGAUCAUGUUAGUACUGUCGAACAUUUUAACUUUUUUUUGGUAGCAGAUGAACUACUCAGCUGGGAGACUAUCAGUGAUUGUUAUAGUUUGACGAGAACUACUAAUUCAAUCCGCUAGUCAAAAAAUCUGCUUCAUUCAGCUAGUCAAAACAUCUAAUUCAAUCUGCUAACAACUAUCUGAUGUUUGAUACUCCCUCCAUCCCUUAUAUAUAUUAGGGGACGGAGACGUGACACACACUUUAAUACUCCAGUUGAACUUAGUUUCAUCCAGAAAUUUUUCAUAGUACCAGACAAGCAUGCUCAUGUGUUUGCAGCUAACGAGCCUACAUGAAAGCGUGGUAGCAUUUCGAGUGGCAAUAAUAAAAAUAACGGAGCAUCGUUCACUAGUUUGUUAAAUCAGUUGGCUCUUAAAUAUGUUCGCAAGUAUAAUAUGUAUUUGUAUAAAUCAGAAAAUAUAUGGAAUGUUCUAUCUACAAGCUUUUAGAUAGCUUCAAACUAUGAUAUGAAAAUAUACAGUAACAAGACAUCUUCAAACUGAAUCGCCAAAACUAUAAAUCAGCAAAGAUAUCGUAGGUUUUGGAGUCUACAACAAUAAGCCUCACUGAAGCGACUGCAGCCGCAACAGACAAGCAGCUGAAGAAAACGACAUUGAGCCAGUGCCAGAUCUUUGAUAGAGAACUUAAUUCGUGCUUCUUAGCAACCACGUACAUGUGGUUUGCAAGAAUGAAUGUGAGGGGGAAUGUGCUGAUUGCCCCUGUGAGACUAAUGAAGUCUCCAAUAAAAGGCAGUAUAGCUGCCACGAAUGUUGUUAGAGCUAGAUACGCUCCUCUCACCAUAAUUCUGAAAGACAAGUUGCGAAAUGCCAAUGCACUUCCUUUAAUGCCAUACUUGGUGUCCACAUACUCAUACAUUGGACUUGCAAAUAUCUGCAAACAGAUCAGGAAGCUAUAAGUAUUUUUAACGAAUAAAGAUAGUAGAAAACUCCCUUAAGGCAGGUGGAGAUUGAGACAGCGGAUUUAAAGAAAUAUUCAUGAAGGAGCUACAGGUUUUCACAAUUGCAGGGAAAUUUGCUUGUGCAAGAGACUUACAUGCAAAGCAAUAGCAGUUUGCAGGAAGGCAGCAACAUUGGCGACGGUCUUCACCCAAUCUGGGCCGCUAACACUGUUGAGUAAAUAGGCAGAUGCAUCGGAUCCAUAGGCCCAAUAUCCAACAAAAGCAACAGCAUAUAGAGGCAAAACACCUAUUAUGAAUUGAAAGUAAAGGCCUUUCAUCAUGUUCUUGACCACAGGCUCUCUCACAGUGGCCUGUUUCAAAAAGAAUUAUAACUAACUCGUGAGCAUAUAUAUAGCAUAGGCAUUGCAAUUCUUUUAAAAGGAAGUAAGCUAUAAAAAGCGAAAUAGAAGAUAAUUCAACUGCAACUUGUAUAUCAAAUGGCAAAAUUCUGAGAGGUAGUAGUUGUAAAAGUUAUAAACACUCAAUAACAUCUCUCUGUUUCAUUUUCAUGUCAAAAUGCAC